rnacentral:sRNA from 1 species
AGCGGCGAGCGAAGCGGGAAGAGCUCAAAUUUAUAAUCUGGCACCUUCGGUGUCCGAGUUGUAAUCUCUAGAAGUGUUUUCCGCGUUGGACCGCACACAAGUCUGUUGGAAUACAGCGGCAUAGUGGUGAAACCCCCGUAUAUGGUGCGGACGCCCAGCGCUUUGUGAUACACUUUCAAUGAGUCGAGUUGUUUGGGAAUGCAGCUCAAAUUGGGUGGUAAAUUCCAUCUAAAGCUAAAUAUUGGCGAGAGACCGAUAGCGAACAAGUACCGUGAGGGAAAGAUGAAAAGCACUUUGGAAAGAGAGUUAACAGUACGUGAAAUUGUUGGAAGGGAAACGCUUGAAGUCAGACUUGCUUGCCGGAGCUUGCUUCGGUUUGCAGGCCAGCAUCAGUUUUCCGGGGUGGAUAAUGACGGUUUGAAGGUAGCAGUCUCGGCUGUGUUAUAGCUUUCCGUUGGAUACAUCCUGGGGGACUGAGGAACGCAGCGUGCUUUUUGCGAAAGACUCGUCUUUUUCACGCUUAGGAUGCUGGUGGAAUGGCUUUAAACGACCCGUCUUG